rnacentral:rRNA from 1 species
AAUCUUGGACAAUGGGCGCAAGCCUGAUCCAGCCAUGCCGCGUGAGUGAUGAAGGCCCUAGGGUCGUAAAGCUCUUUCGCCAGGGAUGAUAAUGACAGUACCUGGUAAAGAAACCCCCGGCUAACUCCGUGCCAGCAGCCGCGGUAAUACGGAGGGGGUUAGCGUUGUUCGGAAUUACUGGGCGUAAAGCGCGCGUAGGCGGACUGGAAAGUUGGGGUGAAAUCCCCGGGGCUCAACCCGGAACUGCCUCCAAAACUCCCAGUCUUGAGUUCGAGAGAGGUGAGUGGAAUUCCGAGUGUAGAGGUGAAAUUCGUAGAUAUUCGGAGGAACACCAGUGGCGAAGGCGGCUCACUGGCUCGAUACUGACGCUGAGGUGCGAAAGUGUGGGGAGCAAACAGGAUUAGAUACCCUGGUAG